rnacentral:rRNA from 1 species
AGUGAACGCUGGCGGUAGGCCUAACACAUGCAAGUCGAACGGCAGCACAGUAAUAGCUUGCUCUUACGGGUGGCGAGUGGCGGAUGGGUGAGGAAUACAUCGGAAUCUACUUUUUCGUGGGUGAUAACGUAGGGAAACUUACGCUAAUACCGCAUACGACCUCCGGGUGAAAGCAGGGGAUCUUCGGACCUUGCGCGAUUGAAUGAGCCGAUGCCGCAUUAGCUAGUUGGCGGGGUAAAGGCCCACUAAGGCGGCUAUCCGUAGCUGGUCUGUGAGGAUGUUGCCGCACACUGGAACUGAGACGCCGACCUGAGUCUGAGGGGAGGCACAAGUGGGGAAUGGUGGACGAUGGGCGCAAGCCUGAUCCAGCCAUAGCGCGCUGGUGAAGAAGGCCUUCGGGUGGUAAAGCCGUUUUGGUGGUGAAGAAAAGCUGCAGGUUAAAAGCAGGCUGUUCUGACGGUAGCGAAAGAAUAAGCACCGGCUAACUACGUG